UCUGCAGCCCCUCCCUGCCUCAGAUGCCAGAACAGAGCCCUGGUGGGGAUGGAGGUCCUGCAGGGACUUUGGGAGCCACGCUCCUCAGGGUUGCUGCUGUGGCGAACAGGGCUGGAUGUGGGCUCUGGGGCGGGCCUGAAUCCAGACAGCCCCAGCCUCAGCCUCCACCUUGGCCCCUCCACCACCUGCUUCUGAUGUGGGCCACGGGCUGAGCCCACCCCCAGUGACUGUGAGCCCACCCCCUUGAAACACAGGUAUUCUCCUCUCCUCCCUGAGGUGCAGCAGCCAUCUUAUGACCACGAGGCAAAUGCCACACAUUAAACUGAAAGACAGAACGAAUCUGGGAUCUGAUGAUGUCCUGGAACUUUGCACCAGUUUUGGACUUUUUGUGAUGUGAAAAUGCCAACUCCCACCUGGUGAAGCUACUAUACAAAGCUUCUGCCACAUGCAGCAAAACACAUUCCUAAAUAAUAAGACAGGAGCUUAUUUUCCUUUA